rfam:Cryptococcus bestiolae CBS 10118 unplaced genomic scaffold supercont1.1, whole genome shotgun sequence.
GGGGAUGUAGCUCAUUUGGCAGAGCGCGUCAUUUGCAAUCACGUAUUAACGCAAGUAAUUGUCGAGGUACAGGGUUCAAUUCCCUGCAUCUCCA